AUGUACAGAUCAGUCUCCCAUUUCUCCACUAUAGUCCAAUACCAAUACAACAAAAUCGUGUACAGAUCAGUCUCCUAUUCCUCUACUAUAGACCAGUACCAAUACAGCAAAAUCGUUUACAGAGCAGUCUCCCAUUUUUCCACUAUAGACCAGUACCAAUACAGCAAAAUCGUUUACAGAGCAGUCUCCCAUUUCUCCACUAUAG